UUCUUGGCGGAUUCACAGAUUGAGAGCUCUUUCUUGAUUCGGUGGAUGGUGGUGCAUGUCCGUUCUUAGUCGGUGGAGCGAUUUGUCUGGUUGAUUCCGAUAACGAAUGACGUCCUAGCUUAUUAAAUAGGUGCGUGGUUCUCUGCACCUUGCACCCUCCUUAGAGGGACAGGCGGCUCCUAGCCGCACGAAAAAGAGCAAUAACAGGUCUUCGAUGCCCUUAGAU
rnacentral:rRNA from 1 species